rnacentral:tRNA from 1 species
GCAUCGGUGGUUCAGUGGUAGAAUUCUCGCCUACCACGCGAGAGACCAGGGUCAGAUUCCCGGCCAAUGCA